rnacentral:rRNA from 1 species
CCCUCGGUAGAUGGGGAGGGAUCAUUAUCGCGGGUGUUUCUUCCCUCCCCCCUCGGGCAACCAUCUUUAAAAGAGGGGUUUGUUGGGCCGGGUUUCCGUCACCCUCCCGGCCUCCCGCCCCCGGGCGUGUCGGCGCCCGCCGGAGGAUAACCAAACUCUGAUUUAACGACGUUUCCUCUGAGUGGUACAAGCACACACUCAAAACUUUUAACAACGGAUCUCUUGGUUCUGGCAUCGAUGAAGAACGCAGCGAAAUGCGAUAAGUAAUGUGAAUUGCAGAAUUCAGUGAAUCAUCGAAUCUUUGAACGCACAUUGCGCCCGCCAGCAUUCUGGCGGGCAUGCCUGUUCGAGCGUCAUUUCAACCCUCAAGCUCUGCUUGGUGUUGGGGCCCUACAGCUGAUGUAGGCCCUCAAAGGUAGUGGCGGACCCUCCCGGAGCCUCCUUUGCGUAGUAACUUUACGUCUCGCACUGGGAUCCGGAGGGACUCUUGCCGUAAAACCCCCAAUUCUCCAAAGGGGACCUCGGAUCAGUCCGUAGGGCCCCUGAAGCUAA